GGCGCGGCCCCACCUUCUUUUCGGGGCAGGCCGCGUGGCUGGGAGGCAUGGCGGCUUCUGGCUGGGUCCAACGGGAUGAACAUUCUCGAGCCUUUGGCUGUGGCUUUUCUUUGGCAUCUGCGGAGACAGUGAGCAGCCGACCUGCAGGUUGAAGCUUAAAAGUGAGGAAUGGAUCCCUGAAAUGAUUUUCUCCUUGCCAGGUGCAGUCUCAGCCUCGGUUUUUGAGGCUGGAAAAGGAUCCUGCAGAAGCAGAUGGCAGCGGUAGCGCAAAGUCCGCUGCCCUGGGCCCGAAGCGGAGACGUCUCUUUUGUAUAUGUCUGCAGUGUGUGAGACAGAACUGACAUGCUUUGCCUGAAACUUCGGCCCAGCAAGAAUCCCUCAUGAGGGACAUGAGGGGCAGGGCACCCAGGUCCUGGGCCCGGAGUCACUGGACACUGGGCCCACGUCACCUGCUCUCCGUUUCACGGGCACAGAUCCUGGGAAGGUGCCCGCUGGGAUGAGGGCCAUGGAUAGCGGCCCCCCCCCCUCCCCCGGCCCUGCUUCCAGACCCAGCGUGCUCAGCCGGCCAGCAGAGUCUGGAGUGGACGAGCGUGGCCAGGGCUGCUGGCUGGGGGGCUGGGUGGGGAAGGGGCCAGCAGCCCACAGCUGAGGAGCCAGGCCUACCUUGCUCCACUCAGAAAAGCGGCCCUUCAGGGCUACGGCCCACCCCGUCAGGCGGGCUCCUGGGGGCCAGGAGGGUUACCUGGGCUGCUCGGGGGGUAGGAAAAAAAGAGCGUCAUUCCCCAACAGUCGACUGAAUUCUUCAGGAUUUUCUUGCUGUCCUCACCCACUUUCCCAGCCUGACAGUGCGCCCCGCACUACCACACCCCGUACCCGCCCGGCUGCUCACCUGUCCCCUUUAUCAGGGCCCUCGGGGACAGGCACACCCAGAAUGGCCGAUCUCAGCAUCACGUAGUCCCGGAUGUCAGAAGGGAUGAAGAUAUAGUGCAGGUCCUGUCGGGGCGACAGAGACCCUGAGCCAGUCCCUCCCGGCCCCCCCCCCAAACAAGACUGUGUCCAGCACCUGCUCAGCCCUCCACCCGGUCCUGCCACCUGUCCUGAUGGGGGAAUUUCUGCUCUCUGCCUGUCACCCCCACUCCCAGGUACCAUGGUGGUUUCAAUGCAUGGUCACAAAUCUUGUGGUAGGUGAGGCUUACUUGCCAUCCCCUUGAGUGACUAACGAAUAGGAGGAAGUGGAAGGGAUGGCGUGUGACCUUGGAGACGAGGCUACAAAGCUCCCUGGGACCCCCUGCGCUGGGUGAAGUGAGCCGCCAUGACCUGGGGACACUCCAGUAGCCUAGAGAGGCGCCAUCUGGACUCUGGCCUCCUUCAAGCCUUCAAGUGCCCGUAGCCCCUGUUGAUGCUGAGCCAAGACCAUUGUGCUAAGCUGUUCCUGAAUCCCUGACCCCCUGAAACUGUAAGAUAAUAAAUGUUUGUCUUUUAAAGCUACCAAGUCUGGGGUAAUUUAUUAACUCAGUGGUAACUCAUACAGGUAGUGUGGCCGGAAAUAAAAGCUGCUCUGUUUUGUUCUGUCACGAGCUAAGAGAGGUCCUGCUGUGGCUAUGGCACUCCUGGAUUUCCUGCCCAGAGGAGGAAGCUUCUAGAAACCCGGCCCGGUCUUCUCAAGCACCACAGAGCCCUUAUCCUGGAAUCUCCCCUCUUUAUGUGGCACCCAGACAGCUCUUGAAGGGAGGAGCAGUGUUCCCGCGACUGGGUGUGGCUGCACAAGCCGCAGGCAGUGGGCGGCCUUGCAUUCUGGCUCCCCUGCUCCCUGGCUGGGCACGCAGUUCCGUGCCUUUGGACUUCAGCCUCCCUCCUAGGCUGCUGUGGGAUCAGGAAGGCAGCUCAGGGAAAUGGGAGACAGCCCUAGCGCUAGUGUGGUCAGAGGGGCCUGGAGGUUGCUGAUUUUAGCUGCGUGGUGGCCUUGGAUGGAUGUGCUGCCAUCAGGAAACGGGCAGCUGUGCCAACCAUGUUUACUGCCGGGAACAGAAGAGAUGCUCACAUUUGAUGCCUUGCGUCCAAAGAAUGCUCGAGAUGAUGUGGCGUUCCUGGGGGAGAAGCAGAAGUAAAUCGGGGUCGGACCUGCCCUUCGGAACCUUCUGAUUCUAGCUCCAGGGGCUGACAAAGCCCGUCAGAGUCAAGAUGGCAUUCGUUUGAUCUUGCCAGGCUCUGAUUUUUGCCCAUGUCUCCCUCUUUAGGAACAAAAAUAUUGUCACAUUAGUAUGUUUUGCUCAGCCUUCUAAACCCAGAAAUCCAAGAAAUCCCAUGGCAAGCGGCAGAAAUGUGGAGUUUACAGAACCCUGAGAUCUGGUUCAAGGAUGAAAACAUACAGUAGGCAAGCUUGCCAGCCCCCUGCCGCCAUCUGAGGGAGCUCCCUGCCAAGGCCCCAGAGGGGCUGGUCCCAGAUGACGUGGUCCCCCUUCCCCUUGGGGUGGGUUGUCCUGCUGUUGUUCCUGGCUCCUGCCCUGCGGCUCCCUGUGGAGGCCAGGGGUCUGAAGCCUCACUCCCUAGGUUUGUAUCCCGUGAUCUAGGGAAGUGACUUCUCAGAGCCUCAGUGUCUGUGUCUGGACCGCAGAUACAAUCAAGUGAUUAAUUAUCAUUAUUAAUCAUAUCACAUCUCCAGUUGUUGGAAGUGUUCACACAGAGACUCAAGAUGAUCUCAUACAAAAAGUGUCCUCUAAAUGGUAGCUAUUGUUACCUAAAGGAAGACGGGAAAGACCUUGUUGUGACAACCUCUAUGACAGUGUCCCUUCGGGAGGGAGGGAAGGGGUUGAUGUUACUCUCCACCCCUACUCCCACCUGCCAGGCGGCCCCUGCAUCAGGGGAGAGAGCAAACAGAAGGACUAGGGGCCUUUGCCUAUUCAAAAGGGUGUCAGGCUUCUCCUAGAUUCCUGUCGCCCCCGCCCUGCCCCCCCCCCCCCCCCCCCCCCCCCCCCCCGCCAGUCACAAGGAAGCAGGUGGGGAGGAUUUUGGCUCAGGAGGCAGUUUGCAAGGAAACAAAGGUCUCUUGUUACUUUUUUUUUUUUGCUUCUGACGUGCUGAGCCAGUUGGGCCACAAGGGAGCAUGCGACCUGCCUCACUUCAGGUUUCCAGAGGACCUGCAGGGGCGGCCGGGGAAGAGCAGGGAUGAUUCCUUCCCCCAUCCCUCUUUCCCCCUCGGAUGGCCACCUGUCCCCCCCACCACCACCACCAUCCUAUAGUUCCUCUCCUCAGCAUAACAGGACCCCCUUUGAAGAGGAACUGGGACCCCAGUACUCAGCCUCAGGGCCGGCGAGAAUCCCCAGGGAGCUUUUGAAAAACACCUUGCGCCCAGGGCCUCACCCCUGUAGUUCUGGUCUGACUGGUCUAGGCCUCCUCCCCAGGUGAUUCUAGCGUGAGCCAGGUUUGAGAACCGGAUGAGGGAGCUGCUGGCCAGGGCAGCUUGGAGACCGGAGGGAUAGAGUUGCAGGGGAGGGGCUAGAGAGCCCCCCGCCCCAGCUCUGUUUUGCUCUCCUGAACACCCCAGCCUCAGGGAGGCCUGCUCAUCUCCAGAGCACCCCUCCGUGCUCAGUGACUUCUCCCAGCCCUCCUUGGGAAUCCCAGGGCUUCUAGACACACCUGCCUGCAGAGCCUGGAAGGGGCGGGCAAGGGAGCCAGCCCAUCUAUGCCCCUCCCAGAAGUUUCACCGGCCUGAGGAGAAAUAAAGACCUUGUACAGUAGGCCUCCCCUCCCCUUGGGUAAGCUCCAAGCCCCGCAGUGGAUGAAACUGUGGAUAGUACCGAACCCUGCACAGGCUAUGUUUUUUCCUCUACAUACAUACGAAUGAUAAAGUUUAAUUUAUAAAUGAGGCACAGUAAGAGAUUAACAACCAUAACUGAUAAUAAAAUAGGACGAUCGUAACAAUAUAACGUGAGUGUGGUCUCUGUAAAUAUCUUACUCGGUAAAUAUCACCCUUCUUGUGACAGUGGGAGAUGACAAAAUAGGCCAGGUGAAGAGACGGGGUCGGGGGGGAGUGGUGACCACAUUGUUGACUACCAUUAGGCUCCUACUGACCUCUGCCUCUAUGUCAGGAGGAGGCUGAUCUGCUCCCAGACCUGGCAUGACUGGGGGUGACUGAAACCAGGGAAAGCCAAACUGCAGGUAAGGAGGUACCACCACGGCG